rnacentral:misc_RNA from 1 species
AGAGAGAGAGAGAGAGAGGGAGAAUGCCAAAUUCUGUUCAAGAAAACAAAUUAUAGUUAUAGAUAAAACUAUGUUAAUUGACCUUCAGUAGUAAUGUUGAAGGCAAUAUGCAUGUCAAAUGUUUUGCAAUUUUUCUUCUGUACAUAUAGCAAAUUAGCAAGCACACAUGUUGACUAAAGAGUGUCAAUAUAUACCCAACAAAGGUAAUUUAUAAGAAAGGGCUUGUCCUGAUUUGGGACUUCAGCUGAAGCAAAAAGAACAAGAUAUGAAUUUGGAAACUUUCACCCAUUUCGCUCGCCUAAAACUAAGUUCCUCCAUGUCAAAAUCAUAGAGAUGCUUCACAUACGAGAAACAAGAAAAUGAAAAAUCAGAAUAACAGAGA